CAUGCACAGGACCAUCGACCAUCGUCCUCAGCCUCCUUCCCCAGAGGCUGCCCCGCCCCCUCCCAUUGGCUGAGCCCGUGACACCCUGCCCACCGGAGGCCCCCUAUUGGCCUUGAUUGACAGGUGGCAAGGAGGGGCUUGUGUGGCCAGAGAGGGAGGGAAAGAUGGAGGCCUCAGAGAGAAGAAGGAGAAGCUCUGAGGGAGGGAGAGAGGGGGGAGGGAGGGAGGGAAAUUGGGGACAUGCCUUCCUUGUUUGUGGGUCUCUCUGCCUUCUCGCGUGGGGUCAUGAGGAGGAGGCGCGCCCUGUGUUGGGAGGUGGGGGCCAGGCCUGUCCUUGGCUGGGCGCAGGGCUCUCUGGGGAAGGGAGAACUACAACUCCCAGGUCGACGGACGGGCGGUGGGCGACAGCGAGGGAGAGCAGGAGGGCAGCUGCGCAGAUGGUUGGCUGGACCUUCCGCCGCCGGCGCUGGAAGAAAUCCCCGGCAUCCAGUUCGGUGGGAGAUACCUAUCACCCAGCCAUUGCAAGGAUCUGCUGAUUGUACUUGGUCAACAUAUAUAAGAUCUCCAGCACCUAGCAUCAGCUCAUCAAUGUUUUGAGGUUUAUACUGGAACAAAGCUCUCAAAACCUAGAAGAAUCCAAAUAAAAGACAGAGUGGGAAAAGAGAAAUAGGGAGAAUAUGCUACAAUCAUUAAUAUUUUGUCAGAUAAGUGGAAACACUGGCAUCUGCUUAUACUUUUUGGCACCUUGCAGAUCAAUUAGAUGUAUAAGAGAGCAGUCCUACAUCAUUAUAUCAUUAAUUGUGUCGCCAUAUCACAAUAUGGAACUAAAUCCUAAUGUUUUCAACAGAAGACACUUAAUAAGAGAUGUCGCAGUUUAAAUAUGCCAGCAAUCAGACUGUACUUGAAACAGGGGAUACCUUAGGGCAGAACUGAAAUAAUUUUUCCAAGACUGCUUUGUUCUUGUGCUAGUUAACUCCACAUGACAAACUGACAGUGUGAAUCUGAUGCAUAUUACUCUAAUAUGAGUUGAUAAUAUGUGGCUGCUUCCUGCCUUCCAGUGUUCAGUUUACACAAUAUGCACGCUCCCAUCUGAACAAGCAUGUACACACUUCUGACAUCAUCAGCGUUUUAUCCUUUUUGCAACAAGAGUAGAAAAUUAGGACUUUACUGCAUGAUACUGUAGUUAGGGAUGCUGUAGUACUGGCACAGUGACCAUCCCUAUCACACACUAAAGCACCAGAUAAGUAUGAUGCUUCAGCACCCCAUUGUUCUAUGUAUGCACUUCUUCUGGACCAUGGUGGGGGAGCAUGUGCUCCAGCAAAUUUGCUUUAAAUUUGUUAAAUUCAGUCUAUUCAUGUAUCCACAAAAAUACAAUUUGUUUUACUUUGGAAAAAAGUGAUAUACAAAAAAUGCAACUAGGCCUUGAACAUUGUUGGUAACAUCAGAGAAAUCUUAAAUCUUGAAGUCUGUGUCUUCAGCACUAACUUAGGAGCAUUAAAAUUCAAACCAAUUAAAACAUAAACAUUAAAUCAUCAAUUAAAAUCACACAAUCGAGGUCAUAUUUCAUGGCUGAUCCGAGUUGUCAUUAUGUCAUUAUGUUAUUUAUAGUCUUUUAUUGCACUGCUCUGAUUUACUGACUAAUUUUAAAGAAGCAGGAUGAUAUAAAUAUGCACAUACCUGGUAAUGGACGAACCGCAUGUCUCUUGAAUACAAAGCUGCUACCCAAUGGCAGCUUUGCUUUGGAUUGAUAGAUUUAGCCAGUUGUUCCAAAGUCUUUUGAUGGUGAGGACAAAAUUUGUUGGCCAAUGUUAGAUGUAGCUGCUUAGUGGAAGGUUUAACAGAACAGUCUACAGAUAAAAUAAUAAGUAUUAUUGUUAGAUGAGAUUAUCAUAAGAUUAUUUAUCAGAAUUUUAUUCUGUAUUGUUUUGAGUUACACGACAAUCACAACAUUGUCCAAAUUAGGUCUCAUCAAACUCAGUGGGACAUCCUGCCAAGUAUAAGCUGUCAAUUUUCAGCCUUAAUGGUUCCAGCAUACAUACAUAGAAAUUGAUGUGCUUCCAAAACUGCACACUAUACAAAGAUGCCUGGCUCAGUGUGAUAUCACAGGAGGGGAUCCUUGAGCAAUGAGGAAAUUGAUAUAGGGCUGAAUGUAUUUUCUUUUUUACUCGGUAGAAAUCAUAGGGAACCAAUGCAGAUUAUGUUCACUGCACUUUGGGAGAGGAUAUUUAAAUUUCCUCACUGACUGUUUUUUAUUAAAAAAAUUCAAAAUC